AUUGAACGCUGGCGGCAUGCCUUACACAUGCAAGUCGAACGGCAGCACGGGAGCAAUCCUGGUGGCGAGUGGCGAACGGGUGAGUAAUAUAUCGGAACGUGCCCAGUCGUGGGGGAUAACGCAGCGAAAGCUGUGCUAAUACCGCAUACGAUCUAAGGAUGAAAGCGGGGGAUCGCAAGACCUCGCGCGAUUGGAGCGGCCGAUAUCAGAUUAGCUAGUUGGUGGGGUAAAGGCCCACCAAGGCGACGAUCUGUAGCUGGUCUGAGAGGACGACCAGCCACACUGGAACUGAGACACGGUCCAGACUCCUACGGGAGGCAGCAGUGGGGAAUUUUGGACAAUGGGCGCAAGCCUGAUCCAGCAAUGCCGCGUGCAGGAUGAAGGCCUUCGGGUUGUAAACUGCUUUUGUACGGAACGAAACGGCCCUUUCUAAUACAGGGGGCUGAUGACGGUACCGUAAGAAUAAGCACCGGCUAACUACGUGCCAGCCGCCACAGUAAUAC
rnacentral:rRNA from 1 species